rnacentral:tRNA from 1 species
GGGGCUGUAGCUUAGCGAGUCAGAGCAGUUCUGUAGAGCCUGAACAGGCGCGGGUUCGAGUCCCGUCAGUCCCU